GACGAACGCUGGCGGCGUGCUUAACACAUGCAAGUCGAACGGUGAAGGGACCGGUUUUUGCUGGUUCUGGAUGAGUGGCGAACGGGUGAGUAACACGUGAGUAACCUGCCCCCUUCUUCUGGAUAACCGCAUGAAAGUGUGGCUAAUACGGGAUAUUCUGCGCCUGCUGCAUGGUGGGUGUGGGAAAGAUUUUGUUUCGGUGGGGGAUGGGCUCGCGGCCUAUCAGCUUGUUGGUGGGGUGAUGGCCUACCAAGGCGGUGACGGGUAGCCGGCCUGAGAGGGUGGACGGUCACACUGGGACUGAGACACGGCCCAGACUCCUACGGGAGGCAGCAGUGGGGAAUAUUGCACAAUGGGCGCAAGCCUGAUGCAGCGACGCCGCGUGAGGGAUGGAGGCCUUCGGGUUGUAAACCUCUUUCGCCAGUGAAGCAGGCCUGUCCCUUUUGUGGGUGGGUUGACGGUAGCUGGAUAAGAAGCGCCGGCUAACUACGUG
rnacentral:rRNA from 1 species